GUUUUCGGGGUUUUUAAGCGAAUAAUGCUGCAUACAAUACUAGGUGGGAAACCAGCAAAUGGUGUGUGGCACAGACGAAUGAAUCACGAGCUGUAUCAGGUGUUCAAAGAAGAAAAUAUUGUGAAUCGAAUUAAAUACGCCAGACUUUAGUGGGCUGGUCACUUAGUGCGAAUGUCGGAAGAAUGAAUAGCGAAUAUACAACAGAGAACCGGAUAGAGGCCGGUGACUUCGUGGACGACCAUGGACACGCUGCCUGCACGAGGUGGAAUCGGACUUGGGACUGGAGGAACAUCGCCCAAGACAGUCGAUUGUGGAGCUCUACAAUACGCUAGGCAAAGUGUAUCGACGCUGUAGCCAACCAGGUGUCUAGAUCAUAUUGUUCGUGCUACCACCAGAUCGUGUAAAAAAAUACCUAUAAAAACUUCAGGAGCGAUUUUCAACUAAUGAUCGACUUGAUAUUAUCAUGGUACUUCAAAAUUCUUCUGCAAUUGUUGACUUCAACUAUGUCAAAUAAACACGGUGAGGGCGUCGUUGAAGUUUAUGGCCCGAUGUCAUUAUCCUACAAGAUUACAAACAGAUCAGUAGAAAACAUUUCCAACCAAAUGAACAAAUGCAUUUAAUAUUACUG